CCACGUUGGGCGCAUUAAUUUUGUGCCCUCUCCCACCGAUUCCCUUUCGGAGCGCUCCCGGCGGGAAACCGCCCGCUUCACGUUGGGCGCAGCAGUUUUGUGCCCCUCACCCGUUUGGAGGCAUCCCGGCGGGAAAACACCGCCCCACCAUCCCUGAGGGGGAUUCACCGCCCGCUCCGCCUUGGGCCCAGCGCUUUUGUGCCCCUCGCUCUUUAGGAGCGCUCCCGGCGGGAAAGUGCCGCCUCACCACCCUCUCCCAACAUCCCUGAGGGGGAUUCACAGCCUGCUCCAGGUUGGGAGCAUUACUUUUGUUCCCCUCGUUCUUUUGGAGCGCUCCCGGCUGGAAAAUACCGGCUCGCCACCCUCUCCCACCAUCCCUGAGGGGGAUUCACCGCCAGCGCUCCGGAGAACCGGGAGGCUCCUGAGGGAAUCCCGCAAAUACAGCCUGUGGAAGACUCAGCUGGAGCUGUUUGCAGUUGGUUAACACCCAUCUUAUGGAAUGGCAUCCAGUCCAGAACCAGGAACUUUAGAGGAAAAUCCUCCAGUUACUGCAGAGGUCCCAGGACUCUGCGCUUCAGCCCAGCAGUAACACAGGAGUCAGGAAUUCUGGUCCUGCCAGAAACAGCAGCUGUUGGAGCUGUUCAGUGAUGCAGAAACCCCACAGGAGAGGAUUUGUGUGGGCAGAACGAAGACAAGGUCGCAGAACACGCCAGGAGAGUUCCAGGGUACAUGUGCACAGCAGCACAGGAAUAUCCUGAAAAAGGCUAAGAAUAUCCUGAAUUUCCUCAGCUGCAGUCUGCUGCAGUUCAGGAAAAUGACAUCAUUGCACCACCACGACCACGGGCUCCAUAGGAGUUUCAUCCUUCCCUCUGAGAACCUUACGGACACGAGUAAUCCCUCCCAGCUCCACAGGGCUUGUGCUGAUGGAAAACUCUCCUCUCGGGAGCAAGCCUUGCUAAGCUCUGGCUCAGUUCUUAUUGAGGUAAAACAGGACCAGGGUCACAGAGGUGCAGCCCAAAUUAUUCAAAUUAUAACAGAAAAUGAGCAGCAGAGCCUGGGCCUGUGUGUUCUGUACACCUCAGGCUGGCUCUGCGUCUGGAACUGGGACAGCGCCCAUUUAUCCAGCCUGGAAUUCCACGAGAACAGGGUCUCUAAAAAACCAACCUCAUCCCAGGACUAUAAAACAACUUCUCACAGCUACACCUGUUUUUCCAUGCUUUCUCUGUAACAGCCAUGCAGCUCAUCCGAAGUGGGAAGAAGGCAAUUCAAAAACACAGCUUCUGCCAGCACCUCUGGGGAGAAAUCAUUGGCAGCACUCCGAGACCUCUGUCACCAACCAGCAAAGUCUCACCUAACACAGACUCUAACACUUGAAACAGCAGUUCCUGGGUUUUGUGGCUUUUUUCAUUUGAAAACCAUUAAAUUAAAAGGGAGCAUCUCCUCCCAUGUGCCAACUAACACCAUGUGUUAAGGCAAAGCACGUAUGAAACAGAACGGCAAGUGAGCCAGUGAGUCAACUUUGCCCUCACACCCCUGUUUACAAUCAAUUUGCAAUAAUUUAUUACAGUUUAUAAUUCUGAAAUCUUUCUUGGAGGAGAGAUACCGGAAGAGUUUUCAGCUCAGCAUUACAUCAGAACUACAGGCACAAGAGUUCUCUGCUGAAACUCUCAAAACAGGAUGGUGUCCAGGGGAAAUAAUGUCCCACCACCUUUGCUGAACAGCCCCAAACCAUUUCCUCACAGGUGAUUCGAGGGUGGAAUAUUUUAAUGCAGGACUUGGCAGAAAAAAACCCUUCCAUACAUAUUUUCCUUCCAUGGAUAUUUCCCCUCCUUCUUCUAAGCAUAUUUUAAAAUUAAAAUCUCUCAAAACAAAUUCUCUCAGCAGUGCCAUUUACUAUACAGAUAAAUAACAAACAACUCAGGAGGGUACAACUCAUGACAGUGCAGAAUUUCUUCAGAACAAGACAAAAAAACACAGGAGUUGCCAGAAUGAAGUUCUUAAACUAUAACUGGACAUGUUUUUAAAUAGUGUUAGUGCCUACACUCCCUGAAAACAUCCAGGUUGCUGAUAUUUAAUAGUGUUACACACAAAGUACUUCAUAAAAAAACAAAACCCAAUGCACAUGUAUCUGAAAUGGUGCAGAAUCCUUGUGCAACGUGCAGGUGCUUAUUUCUCUGUAGAAAAAGCCCUUUUCAUCAAUGGUGGGGGUGCUUUUCCAACGUCAAACAUCAUUUCCAGAGGAGGAUUGUUCAGGCAGCACCAGUCGGGAAUGCGGCCUGUCUGGCUGUAAUAUUCCUUGGACACGGAUCGGCUCCCAAGUAUGUCCUGGAGUGCUCCAAAAAUGGCUCCUGCAUUAUUGGGAAGGAAGAAAAAAACCUGCAUUAAUUUGAUGUACUGAAUUUCAUUUUCUAAUUCUUCCCAUCCAGAAUCUCAACUGGUUGGGCUUUUUCAGCUCUGUCCCACAAAUUAAAGGCUUUCCUUUUUUCCUUUUCAGUAGCCCAGCUAAUCCCAAACUGCUUCCAUUUAUGUCCCUUGAAAGUAACUGAAAACAAAGAAUCAUCUACUCUCUGCUGACAGCAAACCCGGCCUGGUUAACCAACUUCUUAUGACAAAGCUUCCUAAAAGUUUUUAUUUUAAGCACUUCAACCAAACCCCCUUUGUAAGGGGUUGUUCAAGGCAAUUUCCUCUCCUCAAAAAGUUAUCCCACAAGUUCACACAAGCUGUGAGAAGGUCCAGCCCGUGGCAGCUGACCAGAGCUGCCAGGGAAGAAAAGCAUCAAGAACUUGGUGCCUAGAAACUGUCCUGGUUUGCUAAUCCUAAAAAUAAGAGGUUUGAAAACUAAAAGUUUAUGGUGUUAGUUACUGGCACUUGUGACCAGCACAGGGAGU